rnacentral:lncRNA from 1 species
UGCCAAAUUGGGAUUCAGUGUGUAUCUAUUUCAUAAUUCAAAAUUCUGUAUGGUUUAUGGAAUAAAACAGCGUUUAUCAAGCGCUAAACUAGUCAAUAUGACUAAGGUGCCGCGAAAGGUCGCGAAAUCAUUGAAAGGCUGGCAACACCAAAGAGCAGUCUCUCUGACGUGAUACGAUAAGGAAUUUGCCGCCAUCUAGGAAUGUUGUCUUGGAAGACCACAGUCCGUAUAACACAGAACAUUACAAG